AAAGUCUGGUUGUGGUAAGACCUGGAGUACAACGACAUUCUGAUAUUGUCGUCUGCACAUUGACAUUGAAAACAUUGAGGGCGUGGGGGAGGCGGUGGAUGUAGCAGACGGAAAGGAAGAACGACCAAGAUAUAAGCACAAAUACAUUGAAGGCUUAAUCCUAUGAUCUUAAAAUAAUCUUGGGAAUAUGCUUGCUUUAUGCUACCGUUACAAAGAACACAAACUGUAGACUAACCAGCGACCAGCUGAUAAGAAGUUACAGAUACAAACAAAAGGAAAGCAGAGCCGCCCAGCGUUAUAGAAGGCCUGAACACUGACCUGCAACGUCACAACCUGUGGGCAGUUUAGGCCAAUAGCUCGUUGUCACGUCGUACAUACCUAUUGGUCUGAACUCAGUUUGGGAAACACUGACUUAAAGGAUGGGAGAAAUUCAACUACACCAGUCAAUUUAAUGAAACAAGAUUAUGAAUGCUAACUGUGAUUCCGCGACGUCACGCCUUGGAUUAAGGAUAUAAUGGUUACCUGAGGAUUUAUAUGGUCACUCUAGGAUAAAGGAACUACCCAAAGAUCCCAGCAAUGGAAUGUGUCCACUCGAAGACUGCACACACACACUAAGAGGCUACAUUGAAAAUAUCUUUGGAGUGAGAGUAUAUGCCAGAUACUGAAACAGCUGAGGUAGAUUUUAUACUUCCACAAUAGAUACGGUCAGGUUAAAGACGUCGCAGAGAAUGAAAGACAACAAUUCUUUGAUUGAGCCUAUGUUUCACACAAGACAACCCUCUUUGAUUGAGCCCCUGUUUCACACAAGACAACCCUCUUUGAUUGAGCCUCUGUUCCAAUAAGACAACUUUCUGGUGAUGCCUUCGUUUUACACAAUACUCAUUCCGGAUGAAGCCUCAGUUUCACACAAGACAACACUUCCUGAUGAAGUGUCUAUUUCACACAACUUCCGAGUGAAGCCUCUGUUUCACACAAGGCAGCUUUCUAGUGACGCCUCGUUUCACACAAGACAACUUCCUGAUGAGGCCUCUGUUUCACACAAGACAACACUUAGUGAUGAAGCGUCUCACAACGGACAGCUCUUCCAGAAUACUGGUCUUCAAUGUCUCUCUCCUUCCACUUUUCGAGUGACCACUACAUACAGACACUGCUCAAUGAAUCGUUUAGGAAAUGAACUAAUCAAUAGUAAAACGUGAAAUCAUUCCUCAUUGCAGUUUCGUAUAACCGUUAGCCGUAGAAAAAGAAAAAAAAAGUUACUUUGAUUCUAGAUGUAUUUUGUCUUGUAGUUUCAAGGCACUUGAACAGAUCGGCCGAUCAGUGCACUACAUUGUUGUUGUGUUUUUGUGUAUUUCACAGACUGCAACCAAAUUUAAAUUUAGUAGCAAAAUGAUGUCUGGGAGAAUGAAAGUCUUGCUCAGUUGAGAACUUUAUGAUUAUUAUCACAAAGCUAAUAUCAACAUACUCACUGUCUGUAGGGGUUUUGAUUUUACGUUCUAUGUUACUUCUGCCACAUCCAAUCUCGAAUCAAGUUGAAAUGUUGCAAUUAUUUUUUUUGUAGCCGACAAAACAAAACAAUUUAAAUAAAUAACUAAUUACUUAAUAAAAUAAAGUAAAGUCAUUAGCAAAAAACGAAUCCCAUUUGGACAGCUGUUUAAGAAAAACAUCCAUAAAAAAAGCUAAACAGAUUCAAGAAAUAAAAAAAUCACCCUUUGGGUCAGGAUUUUGUGAUUUUACCAUCACAAAAGAGAUACAAGACACCGAUAGCAAAGAUAACAGACAUUGUUGCUGGUUGCAAUCUCCGGUGAUAUAAUAAUUAAAUAGAAACAAUUUGAUAUAAACUUUUCACAUGUAAUCUGGUGUGAAUGUA
rnacentral:sRNA from 1 species